AUUGAACGCUGGCGGCAGGCCUAACACAUGCAAGUCGAACGGCAGCGGGGGAUAGCUUGCUAUCCUGCCGGCGAGUGGCGGACGGGUGAGUAAUGCAUGGGGAGCUGCCCAGUCGAGGGGGAUAACAACUGGAAACGGUUGCUAAUACCGCAUACGCCCUUUGGGGGAAAGGUGGGGAACUUCGGUCCUACCGCGAUUGGAUGCGCCCAUGUGGGAUUAGCUAGUUGGUGAGGUAACGGCUCACCAAGGCGGCGAUCUCUAGCUGGUCUGAGGGGAUGACCCGCCACACUGGAACUGAGACACGGUCCAGACUCCUACGGGAGGCAGCAGUGGGGAAUAUUGCACAAUGGGGGAAACCCUGAUGCAGCCAUGCCGCGUGUGUGAAGAAGGCCUUCGGGUUGUAAAGCACUUUCAGUCAGGAGGAAGGGGUGAUGGCUAAUAUCCAUCAUCAUUGACGUUACUGACAGAAGAAGCACCGGCUAACUCCGUGCCAGCCGCCGCAGUAA
rnacentral:rRNA from 1 species